AGAAAUAAAAUUAAAAAUAAAAAUAAAAGUUGAUAAUAUAAGGUUAAGAUAGGCAUUUAAAAAAGUUAAUUAUGACAAAGGGGAAAAUAUUUAUUAUUGAAAGUUGAAGAAAAAUUUGAUUUUUAAAAUAAUUGGAGGUGUAAAUGACUUUAACCUAAAACACUAGCAUGUUAUAAGUAAGCAUAACCCGCCCGCCCGCCCCCUCUCUCUCUCUCGGAAGGAAAUUAAAGUCAUAAGUAAAAAUAGUUUCGCUUUUGAGGUUAUCUUGGUGCUGGUGUUGGAUGAUAAUGAAAACUAAUAUGGAUCUUUCCGAUCUAUCAAUCAGGUAUGCCCAUCAUCUCUCUCUCUCCCUUAUUUGUUUUUUUUUUCUCUUCUUUUAACCCUAAUAACAGAACCUUUUUUUUUAAUCCUCGUUUUUGCAAAUUUCUGAAGAUUAUUUAAUAAACAAAAAAUAUCCAAGCUUGGUUCCUGUUUUUUCGCAAAUUUCUCUUUAAAGGAGGAACAUCCCUCUUUUAAUAAAAAAAGUUGCAACUUUUUUUUUUUGCAAUUUGUUUGUUGUGUUACUACAAGAAUUGUACCCUACAGAUAAGACUUUGAAUUUUGGACUACAAUAACAUAGAAACCCAUCUGGGGAGGGUAGCCCCAAUUAACCCUACUAAUUGGGGCUAAUCAAAUUGACUUUACUAGCAGCGGCAUCAAAUCGUUUGUUGAAUAACUGAGUAUCUGCAGCCGCUUGGGUGAAGAAGUUCUCCUACUCUCUCCCCGUAGCCUCUUCCUCGGCAUAUGGACGUUUUUCUCUCAAAACUUCAACGCCAUGGUUUCAUCUUUCAAAAAGUUUAGGUGGGCCUGGCCACACGACCAUGGUGGGCGUACCCUUUAUGGUAAUGAUGUAUGGUGGUCUAUUUUUGGUAAUCUUUCCUGGUUUUGCAUGUGCCUUGCUCUAUCUAAUUUUAUGGUUGAUCUAAGUCGUAGCAUGACCUUGGCGGCUCUCCACGUGAUUUUCUCUACCGGGGCCCUAAUAACUCAUUUCAUUUUGAUGCACUCGAUUGUUUAUUGGUAUCGCGACAUGCCUUUCAAGUUAAUGGGUGCCAAGGCGAAAUUUAUGAUUGAGGUCAUCCCUAUGAUAAUAGCAGCAGCCUUGCAUCACCUUUUUGAAUUCAAUUAUGGGUAUCUCCUGCUAUUGCUAGUCUUCACAAUAUAUUUUUAUACCUUUGCGCACUUCAUGCACGUAGCCUAUGACAUUGGAGGAAAAGACGUAUUGUUAGGAUUACUAAUGCCGGUUCUUGGUUACAUGCUGAACGUAGAAUUGUUACUUAGAGCUUUGGCUUUGAGCUUCUGCGUAGGCUUUAGUUUUUAUAGAUACGUGACAUAUUGUGCUCCUGAAGUACCUGCCCAUUCUAAAAAGGAGCUGGAGCGGCUGCCUUGCUGAUUUGAAGGCGUUUGUAGAAGGACAAAUCUUUAGCAUCUCAUAUAUUAUAAGUUAGUCUGUUGUCUU